rnacentral:rRNA from 1 species
CCUACGGGAGGCAGCAGUGAGGAAUAUUGGUCAAUGGGCGCUAGCCUGAACCAGUCAAGUAGCGUGAAGGAUGACUGCCCUCUGGGUUGUAACCUUCUUUUAUAUGGGAAUAAAGUUCCGUUUGUAUACUUCUUUGCAUGUACCUUAUGAAUAAGGACCGGCUAACUCCGUUCCAUCAGCCGCGGUAAUCCGGAGGAUCCGAGCGUUAUCCGGAUUUAUUGGGUUUGAAGGGAGCGUAGGCGGGUUGUUAAGUCAGUUGUGAAAGUUUGAGGCUCAACCGUAAAAUUGCAGUUGAUACUGGCAUCCUUGAGUACAGUAGAGGUAGGCGGAAUUCGUGGUGUAGCGGUGAAAUGCUUAGAUAUCACGAAGAACUCCGAUUGCGAAGGCAGCCUGCUGGACUGUAACUGACGCUGAUGCUCGAAAGCGUGGGUAUCAAACAGGAUUAGAUACCCUGGUAGUC